rnacentral:rRNA from 1 species
AUUGAACGCUGGCGGCAGGCCUAACACAUGCAAGUCGAACGGUAACAGGAAGAAGCUUGCUUCUUUGCUGACGAGUGGCGGACGGGUGAGUAAUGUCUGGGAAACUGCCUGAUGGAGGGGGAUAACUACUGGAAACGGUAGCUAAUACCGCAUAACGUCGCAAGACCAAGAGGGGGGCCUUUGGGGCCCCUGGCCUUCGGAUGUGCCAGAUGGGGUUAGCUAGGAGGUGGGGGAACGGCUCACCUAGGCGACGAUCCCUAGCUGGUCUGAGAGGAUGACCAGCCACACUGGAACUGAGACACGGUCCAGACUCCUACGGGAGGCAGCAGUGGGGAAUAUUGCACAAUGGGCGCAAGCCUGAUGCAGCCAUGCCGCGUGUAUGAAGAAGGCCUUCGGGUUGUAAAGUACUUUCAGCGGGGAGGAAGGGAGUAAAGUUAAUACCUUUGCUCAUUGACGUUACCCGCAGAAGAAGCACCGGCUAACUCCGUG